CGCGUAGGCGGCAGAGCAAGUCGGAUGUGAAAUCCCCGGGCUCAACUUGGGAACUGCAUCCGAAACUGCAUUGCUUGAGUCCUGGAGGGGGUAGUGGAAUUCCCAGUGUAGCGGUGAAAUGCGUAGAUAUUGGGAGGAACACCUGCGGCGAAGGCGGCUACCUGGACAGUGACUGACGCUGAGGCGCGAAAGCUGGGGGAGCGAACG
rnacentral:rRNA from 1 species